UCCCGAAAGGAGGAAAUGUGCAGCUUCCGGUCGUGUGCCAUGGCGGAAAUUUAAAAUUGCUUUCUUUGAAGGCGGUCACCGAUCAUCGUAGGCGGAAUGAGCCUCACGCGACCAAUCUUGACCAACGAGAUUUAUUGAACUGCUGCUCUUCCACACUGACGAUCUGUUUGUCAGCCACUGUCGGUUGAGGAUAUAUCAUUAUUGUGAACGGUGGAGUCUAGAUUUAACUACUCAAUCCUCUGAGGUACUGUGCGAUAACGUGAGCGCUUGAUCGUGCUGAUGGCAGGAUUCCCCAUGAGCUUUGUGGUACGGUAGAAUAUUACAAAAAUCAAGGAGUGGAAUAAUUGAGAGAAGUCACAUAUACCCCUCACUACUUUGUAGAGCCGUCCUUCCCUGAACAC
rnacentral:sRNA from 1 species